rnacentral:tRNA from 1 species
GAGGGUAUAGCUCAGUGGUAGAGGGCAUGCUUAGCAUGCACCAGGUCCUGGGUUCAAUCCCCAGUACCACCA